rnacentral:rRNA from 1 species
CAGUAGCCGCGGUAAUACGAAGGGGGCUAGCGUUGUUCGGAAUUACUGGGCGUAAAGCGCAUGUAGGCGGAUUUUUAAGUCAGGGGUGAAAUCCCGAGGCUCAACCUCGGAACUGCCUUUGAUACUGGAGAUCUUGAGUUCGGAAGAGGUUGGUGGAACAGCUAGUGUAGAGGUGAAAUUCGUAGAUAUUAGCUAGAACACCAGUGGCGAAGGCGGCCAACUGGUCCGAUACUGACGCUGAGGUGCGAAAGCGUGGGGAGCAAACAGGAUUAGAUACCCCCGUAGUCCCUGUCUCUUAUAC